rnacentral:rRNA from 1 species
CUACCGCAAACCGACACAGGUAGAUGAGGAGAGAAUCCUAAGGCCAACGGGAGAAGGGUUGUUAAGGAACUCGGCAAAUUGACCCCGUAACUUCGGGAUAAGGGGAGCCUCCUACGGGAGGCCGCAGUGAAUAGGCCCAAGCAACUGUUUACCAAAAACACAGGUCUCUGCUAAAUCGAAAGAUGACGUAUAGGGGCUGACGCCUGCCCGGUGCCGGAAGGUUAAGAGGAGAGCUUAGCGCAAGCGAAGGUUCGAAUUGAAGCCCCGGUAAACGGCGGCCGUAACAAUAACGGUCCUAAGGUAGCGAAAUUCCUUGUCAGGUAAGUUCUGACCCGCACGAAUGGCGUAAUGAUUUGGGCACUGUCUCAACAGCCCGCCCGGCGAAAUUGUAGUACUGGUGAAGAUGCCAGUUACCCGCAACUAGACGGAAAGACCCCAUGGAGCUUUACUGUAGCCUAAUACUGAAGAUCGGUAAUGCAUGUACAGGAUAGGUGGGAGCCAGCGAAACCCGGGCGUCAGCUCGGAUGGAGGCAACCUUGGAAUACCACCCUUGUAUUGCUGGUUUUCUAACCUGCGGCCAUGAAUCUGGUCGGGGGACACUGUUAGGUGGGCAGUUUGACUGGGGCGGUCGCCUCCAAAAGCGUAACGGAGGCGCUCAAAGGUUGGCUCAGCACGGACGGAAAUCGUGCAUAGAGUGCAAACGCAUAAGCCAACUUGACUGCGAGACCGACGGGUCGAGCAGGUACGAAAGUAGGAGUUAGUGAUCCGGUGGUAUGUGAGUGGAAAUGCCAUCGCUCAACGGAUAAAAGCUACCCUGGGGAUAACAGGCUGAUCUCCCCCAAGCGUCCACAGCGACGGGGAGGUUUGGCACCUCGAUGUCGGCUCGUCACAUCCUGGGGCUGUAUUCGGUCCCAAGGGUUCGGCUGUUCGCCGAUUAAAGUGGCACGCGAGCUGGGUUCAGAACGUCGUGAGACAGUUCGGUCCCUAUCUGUUGCGGGCGCAGGAGAUUUGAAGGGAGCUGUCCUUAGUACGAGAGGACCGGGAUGGACAGACCUCUGGUGCACCAGUUGUCGUGCCAACGGCACAGCUGGGUAGCUACGUCUGGACGAGAUAAACGCUGAAAGCAUCUAAGUGUGAAACUCCCCCUAAGAUAAGAUCUCCCAUCCAUUAGGAGUAAGGGACGACAAAGACUAUGUCGUUGAUAGGUCGGAAGUGUAAGUGCAGUAAUGCAUUGAGCUGACCGAUACUAAUAACCCGAGGGCUUGAUC